UAAAGCGAUUACCCGGCUGUCUCGCUCGCUCGUUCUCCUCCUCGCCAUUUAAGCGCCAUCGAGAAAUUUAGUUUCCUUCCCGGGUCGGCCAUUCGCUCGCGCGCCCAACCUAGAAAAUACGUAACCUUAUUGUAUACCUCGAGCGUCAUUAACGUGUCUAGACAUCGUAUUGUGAUUUAACGCGAUUUCGCUAUUCAUAAAAGAGUGCCCGGACACGAUGAAUGGAAGGAGCGCGUCGUGCACGCGACUCAAUUUCCGCCCCCCUUCCGAACACCCUUCCAAGUUCGA